rnacentral:lncRNA from 1 species
GUGCAAUGACUGAAUUUUCAGAAGUAAAGAUCAGAACCCAGUGUCUGCCAAAAGAUUUUUAGUGUGAUUUCUGAGUAGGAGAGGCAGCCUGGGUCAUUCACUCUAGAUGCCAAAAUAAUGGAAUUUCUGAAACAAUCUGAGGGGGUUAUUAUUACAAAUAGAUUGAAACUGGGCCUGUCCAAAAAAAUCCCCAAUCCCAUUCCCUUUUUGGAUCCUGUUGGAGCUGAAUUCCUCUUGACACAAUAGAGGUUUAAAAGUUAGCAUUCAGCCUGCCUUAUCCUAACUCCCCUAGGUGCAAGGCCUCACAGCCCUUCCUCCCUGUGAGAUCUCCCAGGAUCAAGCACUCCUAACUUUUCAGUUGUCUCAGCGACAUCCCCAGGCACUCUGUCUGCCUUAACCUGCCAGCGUAGCUGUUUCCUUGACUCUGUCAGCCUCUCUGAUUCCCUGUGAGCACCCCGGUCCCCAGCCCCUGCUUGGCGUGUGGCUGAGCCAGCUCCGAUAGCAAUCCUGCUGAGGCUAGCACAGACGGUCCUGGGCCAGGGUAAGCUGAGGCCAGGAGAAUGAAAUUGCUGGGUAAUGAAAGGAGGGCGAUAGGCCCAGAGUCGGAGAAAAGAGUUUGCCAGGAAACCAGACAGAGGGGGGCUGAGUGGAAGAGAGAAGUCAGAGCAGUACUCACAGAACAUCUUGGGGCCGCUAAAGGAAGUGGGAGAGAGGUAGGAACUAAAUGUGCAUGGCAGUGUUGUUUCUCAGUGUGAGAAAGGCUGGCUGGCUGUCACAGAAAUAUCGAGGUAAAUGCAUGGAUCCAUUACUGGAAGGACAAGCAAAAGGCUCCAGUGGGACCCAGGGUGUUCUGCUGGGCAACAGGGAGAGAACAUGGGUCAGAAAGACCUGCUCCCCACCCUGGCUGUGCGACGUGGAGCUGGCUUCUUCACCCCCUGAGCUUUAUGGCACUUGCAGCAGGAAGAAGUUACUUGUUGGCCUUUGGUUUCCCAGGAUCCAGGACGACCUACUGCAGGGCUGUCAUGAACAUCAGCCAGGGCUCUUGGUUGAAAUGGAACCAACUUUAGGGUUGGCACCUUUGGAAGAUUCUCCCCCAUCACUUACUAUUAAUCCAUGAAACCUCUGCCUGGGCCAAUGAUAGUAGCUGUAUAAGCUGAAUAAUGGCCACCCAAAGAUAUCCCUGGAACCUGCAAAUGUUGCCUUAUUUGGAAAAAGGGUCUUUGCAGUUGUGAUUAGGUUUAAGGAUCUUGAGAUGUGGAGACUGUCCUGGAUUACCUCGGUGGACCCUAAAUGCAAUCAGAAGGGUCCUCAUAAGAGAGAGGCAGAGGAAAUCUGACACACAGAGGAGAAGGCAAUGUAAAGGUGGGGCAGAGAGAUUUGAAGGCGCUGGCCUUGAAGAUUGGAGUGACACAGCCCCAAGCCCAGGAAUUCUGGAAGCCACCAGGAGCUGGAAGAGGCAAGGAACGGAUUCUCACCCAGAGCCUCCAGCGGGAGUGCAGCCCUGCUGGCACUUUCAUUUCAAACCAGUGAUGUUGAUUUUGGACUUCUGGCCACCAGAACUGUGACAGAAUACAUUUCCAGUUUGUGGUAAUUUGUUAUGGUAGCCACAGGACAUUAAUACAGCAGCCAUACCCAAAACAGUUUUCUACUACCUUUCACUCACUGUUGCAUGCUCACUUUAAUUUUUCUUUUUUUUUUUUUGAGACAGAGUCUCGCUUUGUUGCCCAGGCUACAGUGAGUGCCGGGGCCUCAGCCUAGCUCACAGCAACCUCAAACUCCUGGGCUUAAGAGAUCCAGCUGCCUCAGCCUCCCGAGUAGCUGGGACUACAGGCAUGCGCCACCAUGCCCAGUUAAUUUUUUUUUCUAUAUAUAUUAGUUGGCCAAUUGAUUUCUUCCUAUUUAUAGUAGCUCACUUUAAUUUCAAGCAUUAAUUUCAAGUAACUCUAUUGACCAUCCCCCACUUUCCUCUCUUUUCCAGGAAAGGAAGCCAUUUUGCUGACAGCAGCAUAUGACACUUUUUAAAAGUUCUUUAGUAGUCUUAGGCUUCUGGCAUAUAUCUUUUUCUUCUCCCUUUUCUUUUACUCUUUCUCAGUAAUUAAAGGAGAAGAAAGUAUUUUGAAAGCUAGUAUAGUUUAUACUUUCUCAACCAAAACUCUCUGUUCCAUAGCCAAUACUGCUGUGAUCUUCAGUACAACGAUGGUCUUCAUCAUCAUGCCCUUACGACUUUGCAAAAUCCUGAAGAGUUUUCUAAGAAACUUAAAGAAAGGUUAAAUUUACCAGUUUCUCUAUAUCCUCAGAAAAAGUGAUAGCCAUGUAAUCAGUUUGGAUCCUUGGACUAUGUUUAGGCAACAUAGAGUUGUGAAGCCAGAAGGCUGGUAGAUUGAGGAGAAAUGGAAGGAUUAAGGAACUGGAGAUCUUAAGUGAGGUAAUAGUUAAAGCAGAGGAAUGAAAGAGUUGGAAUGGAAAGGGAGACUCAGGAGUUUAGGGUUGAAGCUAUUGUGAGUGACGUCAAAAUCCUAAGGGAGAACUGGAGUAGCUUACAUAAGGUGAUGACAAACCAAAACUAUGAAGACAUCCAAAAGAUCAGUGUUUGCUAGGGGUUAUGGGGAGGGAGGGAUGAAUAGGUGGAACACAGGGUAUUUUUUAGGGUAGUGAAACUACUCUGUAUAAUACUGGAAUUGUGUAUACAUGGCAUUAUGAAUUUGUCAAAACCCAUAGAAUAUACAACACAAGGAGUGAACCCUAAUGUAAACUAUGGGCUUUAGUUAAUAACAAGGUAUCAAUAUUGACUGAUCAAUCAUAACAAAUGUACCACAAUGAUGCAAGAUGUUAAAAACAGGUGAAACUGGGGUGAGGGUGGAGGUGAGGUGGUAUAUAGGAACUCUCUGUGCUUUCAGCUAAACUGUUCUGUAAAUCUAAAAUUGCUCAAAAAAUAAAGUCUAUUAAUUAAAAAAAAAAAAAAACCAAUAAUAUACUCCAACCCUCAAAUGUGGAGUUCGUUGGUUCGUGAUAAAAUCAGAUGCCAGUUUUCCCCAACAGAAUAUUAAACAUAAGUCUAAGGAUCUUACAAUAGAAUUAUCUCUAAAAUGGUAAAAUAUACUUAUGAAAAUAUUAUUGCAGUGUGUUAAAAGUGAAACAGUAUCAAUACGUUAAAUGUUUUUUAAAGAAAAAAAUUAUAAGUAAACAGCAAGAAAACAUUUGAAUAGAAAAAUAGGCAACAGGCCAGGAGCAGUGGCUCACGCCUGUAAUCCCAGCACUCUGGGAGGCCGAGGUGGGAGUCAAGGUCAGGAGUUCGAAACCAGCCUAAGCAAGAGCGAGACCCCGUUUCUACUAUAAAUACAAAGAAAUUAAUUGGCCAACUAAUAUAUAGAGAAAAAAUUAGCCGGGCAUGGUGGCGCAUGCCUGUAGUCCCAGCCACUCAGGAAGCUGAGGCAGUAGGACUGCUUGAGCCCAGGAGUUUGAGGUUGCUGUGAGCUAGGCUGACGCCACGGCACGUACUCUAACCUGGGCAACAAAGCGAGACUGUCUCAAAAAAUAAAUAAAUAGAUAAAUAAGAAAAAUAAGCAAUAAAUAUGAACAGAGGGUUCACAAAAAAAGAAAUAUAAAUGGCCAAUUAAUAAUCAGACUGAAAUAAUACUCAAAGAAAUGAAGAAGAAUGCCAAUAUUCAGUUGUCUAGAGGGUGUGGAGGAAUUGAGCACUCUUUUACACUGUUCAUCAAUGUAUAAUAUACAUGACUAUGACCUGUCACUGGGCAAUUUCACAGUAUACAUACUAUGAAAUUAAAAUAUGCAUACUCUUUACCAGUCCUACUCCCAGAAAUUUAUACUUAGGAAAUAACCAGAGGAAUUGGCAGUGUAUAGCAAUUUAUAAUAUAGUACAGUCUUUAUUAUAACAGGAAAAACUGGAAAUAACCUAAAUGUAGGAGAUUGAUUAAAUAAAUGUUAGGACACCAUACAAUGAAGCAGUAUAAAGUGAUCAAAAUUGUAAUUAAAUAUUUUGUAAUUCAUUGACACAAAAAGACCUCUACAAUAUAUUGUCAAAUCAUAAAAAGUUAAAAGGCAACCUGUGUCAGAUAGCUUAUGUAUACAUUUAUGAGUGGCAACAUUAUAUAGUGAGUCAAGGCCAAGGCUUGACAGACAGCAUCAGACAGACCUAUAAGCAGAGCUCUGGGCUCAGGUGCUUAUUGGAUGUGGAAACUUGGGUACAUUAGGUAGCUCCCCUAAGCCAUAGUUUCUCAUUUGCAAAUUCAGGAUAAUAACAGUAUCUACCCCUUGGGGAUAUUGUGCAAAUUAAAUAAAAUCACUUAAGCAAAGUUAUGAAUUAUGGCAAAAAAAAUUGUCUGAAAAAUUACUAAAAUUUUAAUAAUGGUUGCCAUUGAAUGGUAGGUUUGGGGGUGAUUUAUGCCCUCUUUUACAAUUUUCUAAAUUUAACUAAAAAUAUAUGCAAACAUAGUAAUUUUUACUUAAAUAAACAACAAAAUAUCCCAAGCCUUGGACCAAAUGGAAAUAAAGCUUUUUGCAGCAAAAAAAAAAAAAAAAUGUUUAUUUAUUACAUACCAAGAAAAGAGAGUAAAAUACUUCCAUAUUAUUUUAAAUUUUAUAGUGAGGAUACAUUUAUUUACUAUUAAUGCUUAUACAAUUCUUAAAACAGACUGCUAAGAAAUAUCCUAAAAUACAAAAAGGAAUUAACCUCUGGAUGUUAGGAUUCUAGAUGACUUAUUUCUUUCUGUACGAUUUUUCUCCAUUUUCUAAGCUCACAAUAAUAGGUAAUACUUGUAUAAUAAAAAGUAUUAUAAAGAAAAAUAUUGGCUGGGCGUGGUGGCUCACGCCUGUAAUCCUAGCACUCUGGGAGGCCGAGGGAGAAUUUUGCUCAAGGUCAGGAGUUCGAAACCAGCCUGAGCAAGAGUGAGAUCCCGUCUCUACUAAAAAUAGAAAGAAAUUAAUUGGCCAACUAAUAUAUAUAGAAAAAUUUAGCCGGGCAUGGUGGCGCAUGCCUGUAGUCCCAGCUACUCGGGAGGCUGAGGCAGAAGGAUCACUUGAGCCCAGGAGUUUGAGGUUGCUGUGAGCUAGGCUGACGCCACGGCACUCACUCUAGCCUGGGCAACAAAGUGAGACUCUGUCUCAAAAAAAAAAAAAGAAAAAGAAAAAGAAAAAGAAAAAUAUUGUAGAUCAUUUAUCGACAUUGAAGUAGUUCCACAUAUAGAUUACAAAGUGAAGAAAAAAGAAAAAAGCUACAAAACAGAAUAUGAAGGUUUUUGUUUGUUUGUUUUUAAGACAGAGUCUCACUCUGUU